rnacentral:lncRNA from 1 species
UUUGUAAACUGUAUGGCACUGGCGGGAGUGUCUUUAGCAUGUUAGCGCAUUAUAUAAUUAGUGUAUAAUGAGCAGUGAGACGACUGGAGGUCACUUUCAUCGCCAUCUUGGUUUUGGUGGGUUUUGGACAGCUUCUUUACGCAUGCUGUUUUAUCAGCAAGGUCUUUGUGACCUGUAUCUUGUGCCGACCUCCUAUCUCAUCCUGUGACUAGGAAUGCCUUAACCUCCUGGAAUGCAGCUCAUGUCACCCUGCUUGCACAUGGAAGGGAGGCCUGAGAGGCUGCAGAAUGGCCCUGGAGAAGGCAAGAGACAUCAUCUGGUUGGCCUGGAGUGCACGUCUGUGAGAGACUUUGGGGCAGUUCUCUCUUCUCUAUGCUAGAGCCAUUGAUGCCCUGUGCACUUCAUUGCCUUUGACCAUCAUUCCUUGCUCCUGGAAUGCCACCUCCUCUUUGCCACAGUUAAUAAAACCAGCUGAAGCCUC